rnacentral:miRNA from 1 species
UAUGCAUAUACGUGUGUGUGUGUGUGUGUGUGUGUGUGUGUGUGUAUAUAUAUAUAUAUAUAUACACACACACACACAUAUAUACUGUACACAUACAUAUA